UACGGGGGGAGCAAGCGUUGUUCGGAUUUACUGGGCGUAAAGGGCGCGUAGGCGGCCAGCACAAGUCAGUUGUGAAAUCUCCGGGCUUAACUCGGAAAGGUCAACUGAUACUGUGCGGCUAGAGUGCAGAAGGGGCAACUGGAAUUCUCGGUGUAGCGGUGAAAUGCGUAGAUAUCGAGAGGAACACCUGCGGCGAAGGCGGGUUGCUGGGCUGACACUGACGCUGAAGCGCGAAAGCCAGGGGAGAGAACGGG
rnacentral:rRNA from 1 species